GACGAACGCUGGCGGCGUGCUUAACACAUGCAAGUCGAACGGAAAGGCCCUGCUUUUGUGGGGUGCUCGAGUGGCGAACGGGUGAGUAACACGUGAGUAACCUGCCCUUGACUUUGGGAUAACUUCAGGAAACUGGGGCUAAUACCGGAUAGGAGCUCCUGCUGCAUGGUGGGGGUUGGAAAGUUUCGGCGGUUGGGGGUGGACUCGCGGCUUAUCAGCUUGUUGGUGGGGUAGUGGCUUACCAAGGCUUUGACGGGUAGCCGGCCUGAGAGGGUGACCGGCCACAUUGGGACUGCGAUACGGACCAGACUCCUACGGGAGGCAGCAGUGGGGAAUAUUGCACAAUGGGCGGAAGCCUGAUGCAGCAACGCCGCGUGCGGGAUGACGGCCUUCGGGUUGUAAACCGCUUUCGCCUGUGACGAAGCGUGAGUGACGGUAAUGGGUAAAGAAGCACCGGCUAACUACGUG
rnacentral:rRNA from 1 species